ensembl:rRNA 5S_rRNA 5S ribosomal RNA
GUUUACGGCCAUACCAGACUGGGUACGCCCGAUCUCGUCUGAUCUCGGAAGCUAAGCAGGGGCCUGCCUGGUUAGUACUUGGAUGGGAGACCGCCUGGGAAUACCAGGUGUUGUAAGCU